AGGGUUUGAUCAUGGCUCAGGAUGAACGCUAGCGAUAGGCUUAACACAUGCAAGUCGAGGGGCAGCAUAAGAGUAGUAAUACUUUGGUGGCGACCGGCGCACGGGUGAGUAACACGUAUGCAACCUACCCAUAACUGCGGAAUAACUCGUCGAAAGGCGGACUAAUACCGCAUAACAACAUUUCGUCUCAUGACGUGAUGUUUAAAGAUUAAUCGGUUAUGGAUGGGCCUGCGUUCCAUUAGAUUGUUGGUAGGGUAACGGCCUACCAAGUCUUCGAUGGAUAGGGGUUCUGAGAGGAAGGUCCCCCACACUGGUACUGAGACACGGACCAGACUCCUACGGGAGGCAGCAGUGAGGAAUAUUGGUCAAUGGGCGAGAGCCUGAACCAGCCAAAUCGCGUGAAGGAUGAAGGUAUUAUGUAUUGUAAACUUCUUUUGUCAGGGAAUAAAGUGCGUCACGUGUGACGUUUUGUAAGUACCUGAAGAAUAAGGAUCGGCUAACUCCGUGCCAGCAGCCGCGGUAAUACGGAGGAUCCGAGCGUUAUCCGGAUUUAUU
rnacentral:rRNA from 1 species